rnacentral:rRNA from 1 species
AUUGAACGCUGGCGGCAGGCCUAACACAUGCAAGUCGAACGAGUGGCGGACGGGUGAGUAAUGACUGGGAAACUGCCUGAUGGAGGGGGAUCACUACUGGAAACGGUAGCUAAUACCGCAUACCAUCAGAUGUGCCCAUAUGGGAUUAGCUUGGUGGUGGGGUAACGGCUCACCAAGGCGACGAGCCCUAGCUGGUCUGAGAGGAUGACCCGCCACACUGUAACUGAGACACGGUCCAUACGCCUACGGGAGGCAGCAGUGGGGAAUAUUGCACAAGGGGCGGAAGCCUGAUGCAGCCAUGCCGCGUUUGUGAAGAAGGCCUUCGGGUUGUAAAGCACUUUCCGCGAGUAGGCGUUACUCGCAGAAGAAGCACCGGCUAACUCCGUGCCAGCAGCCGCGGUAAUAC